rnacentral:rRNA from 1 species
UUACCUCAGUAACGGCGAGUGAAGCGGUAACAGCUCAAAUUUGAAAUCUGGCUCUUUUAGGCAUUAGUUGUAAUUUGUAGAAGAUGCUUCGGGUGUGGCUCCGGUCUAAGUUCCUUGGAACAGGACGUCAUAGAGGGUGAGAAUCCCGUAUGUGACUGGGUGUCUAUGCUCAUGUGAAGCUCUUUCGACGAGUCGAGUUGUUUGGGAAUGCAGCUCUAAAUGGGUGGUAAAUUUCAUCUAAAGCUAAAUAUUGGCCAGAGACCGAUAGCGCACAAGUAGAGUGAUCGAAAGAUGAAAAGCACUUUGGAAAGAGAGUUAAACAGUACGUGAAAUUGUUGAAAGGGAAGCGCUUGCAACCAGACUUGCACGUUGUCGAUCAUCCGAUGUUCUCACCGGUGCACUCGACUGCGUUCAGGCCAGCAUCAGUUUCGGUGGUUGGAUAAAGGCCUUGGGAAUGUGGCUCCUCUCGGGGAGUGUUAUAGCCCUCGGUGCAAUGCAGCCUACCGGGACUGAGGACCGCGCUUCGGCUAGGAUGCUGGCGUAAUGGUUGUAAGCGACCCGUCUUGAAACACGGACCAAGGAGUCUAACAUCUAUGCGAGUAUUUGGGUGUUAAACCCAUAUGCGUAAUGAAAGUGAACGGAGGUAAGAACCCUUAAGGGUGCAUUAUCGACCGAUCCUGAUGUCUUCGGAUGGAUUUGAGUAAGAGCAUAGCUGUUGGGACCCGAAAGAUGGUGAACUAUGCGUGGAUAGGGUGAAGCCAGAGGAAACUCUGGUGGAGGCUCGCAGCGGUUCUGACGUGCAAAUCGAUCGUCAAAUCUGCGUAUAGGGGGCGAAAGACUAAUCGAACCAUCCGUAUGGCCUUGUAGUCUCUUUUUUGUGAGCAAGCGCUAGGUGGUUAAGAGGUGGCUAAAAGUGCCAUCUAGUCCCUAGAUCUUGGGGGCAACACUAUCAAAUUGUUCGGGGACGUCCUGUUAAAUUCCAAGCUACCCGCAGCCCUUAUCGAAAGAUAGGUGCGCACCAGGGUAAUGACCUCGGGUAUGGUAAUAACGCUUAGAUAGGGAUAAUCCGCAGCCAAGUCCUAAGGGCGUACAUUGCCUAUGGAUGCAGUUCACAGACUAAAUGGUAGUGGGCUGGGUACUAGAUAGUACCCAGCUUAAGUUAUAGUCGAUCCGCUAGGAGACUAGUUAGGUAGGAUGAAGGGUUGUAGAGGAGAUCUCCUUUAUUAUUGGGCUCUACAACUCCCUAGGCCUACCUAGAAGGUUUAUAAUAGGAUCAGUAGAUGGUCUGUUAUAAAUCUUUGGGGAGAAUCGUUAUUUAGAGCUAGUAGCUUUGCUUAGAUAUGUGGCCAGGUUGGGUCGUCAAGUAGAAGUUUUGCAUGCACGAUCUAGUAACAUCUA